GUGUUUGCUUCGGCAGCACAUAUACUAAAAUAGGAACAGUGCAGAGAUUAGCACCACCCCCGUGCAGGAGGACACGCAAAUUCACGAAGCAUUUUGUAUUUCU
ensembl:snRNA U6 U6 spliceosomal RNA